rnacentral:rRNA from 1 species
UACGAAGGGGGCUAGCGUUACUCGGAUUGACUGGGCGUAAAGGGCGCGUAGGCGGUUUGUACAGUCAGACGUGAAAUUCCUGGGCUCAACCUGGGGGCUGCGUUUGAUACGUGCAGACUUGAGUGCGGAAGAGGGUCGUGAAAUUCCCAGUGUAGAGGUGAAAUUCGUAGAUAUUGGGAAGAACACCGGUGGCGAAGGCGGCGAC